rnacentral:rRNA from 1 species
AUUGAACGCUGGCGGCAUGCCUUACACAUGCAAGUCGAACGGCAGCGCGGGGCAACCUGGCGGCGAGUGGCGAACGGGUGAGUAAUAUAUCGGAACGUACCCUGGAGUGGGGGAUAACGUAGCGAAAGUUACGCUAAUACCGCAUACGAUCUAUGGAUGAAAGCAGGGGACCGCAAGGCCUUGUGCUCCUGGAGCGGCCGAUAUCUGAUUAGCUAGUUGGUGGGGUAAAGGCCUACCAAGGCAUCGAUCAGUAGCUGGUCUGAGAGGACGACCAGCCACACUGGAACUGAGAAGCGGGCCAGGAUCCUACGGGAGGCAGCAGUGGGGAAUUUUGGACAAUGGGCGCAAGCCUGAUCCAGCAAUGCCGCGUGAGAGAAGAAGGCCUUCGGGUUGUAAAGCUCUUUUGUCAGGGAAGAAACGGUGGGGGCUAAUAUCCUUCACUAAUGACGGUACCUGAAGAAUAAGCACCGGCUAACUACGUGCCAGCCGCCGCCGUAACAC